rnacentral:tRNA from 1 species
AGCGGUGUAGAGCAGCUAGGUAGCUCGCCGGGCUCAUAACCCGGAGGACGCGUGUUCGAAUCACGCCACCGCCACGAC